rnacentral:tRNA from 4 species
AGUCUUAUAUUCAAUUAUGAUUUUAAAUUGCAAAUUUAAAGGUGAAUUUUAUUCUAAGACUU